AUGGCAGUUCUGAAGAUGUUCGUAACCGUGCUCGUCUGGAAGGAAGCAUCGCAAAGGGAUAUGGAACAGAUCAGGGCAUUGAUUUUUUAUUGACUUUAUUAACGACCUGAGUUUGAUUGGAGUCUCUGUAUCAUGCCAUGAGGAGAGACUGAAAGGGAAAGGGCAAACUAGGGAGGAAAGCUCGGAUGGACAUCGAUGAGGAUACAUUUCAUAAAGCACACUUCACGGUCCU
rnacentral:lncRNA from 1 species